UACAGAGGCCCCAAGCGUUAGGCGGAAUCACUGGGCUUAAAGCGUGUGUAGGCGGAUCGUUAAGUGUCUUGUGAAAUCCCACGGCUCACCCGUGGAACUGCUGGGCAUACUGGCGAUCUUGGGCCAACUAGGGGCAGCCGGAACAAGCGGUGGAGCGGUGAAAUGCGUAGAUAUCGCUUGGAACGCCGAAGGUGAAAACAGGCUGCUGGGGUUGUGCCGACGCUGAGACACGAAAGCCAGGGGAGCAAACGGG
rnacentral:rRNA from 1 species